GACAGAGGCCUCAAGCGUUAGGCGGAAUCACUGGGCGUAAAGCGCACGUAGGCGGAUUGCUAAGUCAGGGGUGAAAUCCUGGAGCUCAACUCCAGAACUGCCUUUGAUACUGGCGAUCUCGAGUCCGGGAGAGGUGAGUGGAACUGCGAGUGUAGAGGUGAAAUUCGUAGAUAUUCGCAAGAACACCAGUGGCGAAGGCGGCUCACUGGCCCGGUACUGACGCUGAGGUGCGAAAGCGUGGGGAGCAAACAGGGAU
rnacentral:rRNA from 1 species